rnacentral:rRNA from 1 species
ACGGAAGGCAGCAGUGGGGAAUAUUGGGCAAUGGGCGCAAGCCUGACCCAGCAAUGCCGCGUGAAGGAAGAAGGCUUUCGGGUUGUAAACUUCUUUUAUAUGGGACGAGGAAAAUGACGGUACCAUAUGAAUAAGCCACGGCUAACUACGUGCCAGCAGCCGCGGUAAUACGUAGGUGGCAAGCGUUAUCCGGAUUUACUGGGUGUAAAGGGUGUGUAGGCGGGACUGCAAGUCAGAUGUGAAAACUAUGGGCUUAACUCAUAGCCUGCAUUUGAAACUGUGGUUCUUGAGGGUCGGAGGGGUUACUGGAAUUCCCGGUGUAGCGGUGAAAUGCGUAGAUACCGGGAGGAACACCGGUGGCGAAGGCGAGUAACUGGACGAUACCUGACGCUGAGACACGAAAGUGUGGGGAGCAAACAGGAUUAGAUACCCUGGUA